CCGCCCAUCAGCUGCACGUGCGACGGAAGCUCCCGGGCGGCCCGGCCCUGGUGUCUGUAGUGGUGUCUCAUGCUCCUAGCGAUUUGCUCCUCAAAGCCGACUCCGGAGAGAGAAGAGGUGGACGUCCCUAUAAGCGCCCCCAGGACCCUCAUCUAUAGCCAGAUUACAAGAGGAACCUGCCCACCAAAAGUAAGCUCUACAUCCGAAAUGAGGCUUGAACUCAUGACCCCAAGAUCAAGAGUUGCAUGCUUCACUGACUAAGCCAGCCAGGCACCCCUCGUACAGGUAAGUUUAAACAUCUUUUCACAUAUUUAGGAGCCAUUCUUUUUCUGUGAUUUUUUUUUUAAUUCAUGUACUUUGCCCAUUUUUUUUCUAUUGGAUUAUCAGAAUCUUUCAGUUCCAAAGAAGUGUUUAUGUAUUAGGGAGAUUAGCCCUUUGAUUUGAGCUGCAAAUAUUUUUUCCCAUUUUGCUGUUUGACGUUGUUUAUAUCUUUUUUUUUUUUAUUUCCAUAAGGAAUGUUUUCAUCCUUAUACAUUUGAAAUCAUUAGCCUUUCCUUGGAGGCUUUGGAUUUUUUUUUUAAGAUUUUAUUUAUUCAUUUGAGAGAGAGCGAGAGCGAGAGAGAGAGAGAGCGAGCAUGAGCAGGGGGAGGGGCAGAAGGAGAGGGAGAAGCAGAUUCUUCCCACUGAGCCUGAAGCCCCAGGCAAGGCCAAUCACAGGACCAUGAUAUGGUGACCUGAGCUGAAGGAAGAUGCUUAACUGAGUCACUGAGAUGCCCCCAGGCUUUUUUUUUUUUUUUUAAGAUUUUAUUUAUUUAUUCAUGAGAGACACAGAGAGAAAGAGAGUCAGAGACACAGGCAGAGGGAGAAGCAGGCUCCAUGCAGGAAGCCUGAUGUGGGACUUGAUCAGGCUUUGGGGUUUUAAUCUUAAUUAGAAAGGCUUUCUCUUAGUCUAUAUUUGAAUUUCUAAUGUUUUUCUUCCAGUACUUUUUUGAGUUGUUUUUCUUGUUUACAUUUAAAUCUUUUAUUUGGAGUUUAUUCUACUACCUUGUAUGAUAACCAGUUUGUUUUCUUAUGGUUCCAACACCCUGUAUUAAAGUCUGUCUUUACCCCCACUGAUCUUUGAUACCACCUUUAUGUGUAGUGAGCUCCUAUGUGUUUGGGUCUAUUUCUGGGCUUUCUGUUCUGUUCCAUGGACGGUAUAAUCAUGCAUCAGAAUCACACUGUUUAAACUACUUUUUAGGGAUGCCUGGGUGGCUCAGUGGUUGGGCGUCUGCCUUUGGUUUAGGGCCUGAUCCCAGAUUCUCAGGAUCGAGUCCCACAUUGGGCUCCUUGCAUGGAACCUGCUUCUCCUCCCUCUGCCUGUGUCUCUGUGUCUCUCAUGAAUAAAUAAAUAAAAUCAAAAAAAGUAACA
rnacentral:lncRNA from 12 species